rnacentral:lncRNA from 1 species
CCCAAGGGCGAACUGAACCGGGCAUGGAAGGCAAUUCUAUCAAGUAAAGCUAGUUGUCAGUCAGGGUUGAGACAGUAAGGUCGUUCAGGCUUGCUUGAGAAGGUAAGGCCUGAUAAGGCUUGCUUGAGAAGGUAAGGCCUGAUAAGGCUUGCUUGGGAAGGUAAGGCCUGAUAAGGGGCUUUAGAAAGUAAAGUCGGGAAGGCCUCGUUCAAGUUCUAUUCUCUACAUGAGCUUCGGGUAACCAAAUAUGAACUGGUACCAUGGGUGACGGCGAAAGAGGCAUGUUUAACCGAUAGCACUGGACUUGCUUAUGACAGUUAAAACUACCUUGGGCUUUAUACCAAAAGUAUCAAAAAAAAAUUGUAAAGAUUUUCGUUUGAAACAGUUGAAGUUGAAAAAGGCUUUACUUGCUUACUCGAAUUAGUCUUACUUACUAUUUUCAAUUCAUAUAAUAGAAUGCGCUAUUGGGAUAACAAUAGGAUAGAACAUGAAAGUCUUGCUUGUACUGAUCUUUUUUAUCUUCUUAAUAGUUAAUAGCACCUUUCAUGUGAAGACUAAAAAGCAACUAAUAUAAUAAGAGCUAUAGCUAGAUGAUCAUCUUCUCCCCUUAAGAGGUAUAUUCCACUUCUACCUUUAAACCCUAUAUAAAGCCCUAGAAACAGCCGAAUCAAGACUGUCCCCGUCGCUUCCUAGCUUCCUUCUCUUCUAUCUAAUCUAUAAGCCAUUAAUAAGAGCUAUCUAUCCUCUAUACCCCUUGCAUACAAUAAUUAGUCGACUACCUAUAACAGCAGUUUCUCUAACUCUCUAACUAAAAGGCUUUCUUAAGCCCCUAAAAGAAGCAGAAGAUAGAGGUUUAGAUGUAAUCUAUACUCACAGGAUAUAUUGCAUACUAAGAUUAUAGGGGAAUGCUGCUACUANNN